rnacentral:rRNA from 1 species
AUUGAACGCUGGCGGCAGGCCUAACACAUGCAAGUCGAGCGGCAGCACGGGGGGCUUGCUCCCUGGUGGCGAGCGGCGGACGGGUGAGUAAUGCAUAGGAAUCUGCCCGGUAGUGGGGGAUAACGUGGGGAAACCCACGCUAAUACCGCAUACGUCCUACGGGAGAAAGCGGAGGAUCUUCGGACUUCGCGCUAUCGGAUGAGCCUAUGUCGGAUUAGCUAGUUGGUAAGGUAACGGCUUACCAAGGCAACGAUCCGUAGCUGGUCUGAGAGGAUGAUCAGCCACACUGGGACUGAGACACGGCCCAGACUCCUACGGGAGGCAGCAGUGGGGAAUAUUGGACAAUGGGCGAAAGCCUGAUCCAGCCAUGCCGCGUGUGUGAAGAAGGCUUUCGGGUUGUAAAGCACUUUCAGCGAGGAAGAAAGCCUCUGGGUUAAUACCCCAGAGGAAGGACAUCACUCGCAGAAGAAGCACCGGCUAACUCCGUGCCAGCAGCCGCGGUAAUACGGAGGGUGCGAGCGUUAAUCGGAAUUACUGGGCGUAAAGCGCGCGUAGGUGGCUUGGCACGCCGGUUGUGAAAGCCCCGGGCUCAACCUGGGAACUGCAUCCGGAACGGCCAGGCUAGAGUGCAGGAGAGGAAGGUAGAAUUCCCGGUGUAGCGGUGAGAUGCGUAGAGAUCGGGAGGAAUACCAGUGGCGAAGGCGGCCUUCUGGCCUGACACUGACACUGAGGUGCGAAAGCGUGGGUAGCAAACAGGAUUAGAUACCCUGGUAGUCCACGCCGUAAACGAUGUCGACUAGCCGUUGGGACCUUUAAGGACUUAGUGGCGCAGUUAACGCGAUAAGUCGACCGCCUGGGGAGUACGGCCGCAAGGUUAAAACUCAAAUGAAUUGACGG